UUUUUUUUGAUUUUUAAAUUCUUGGCUUUCAAAUUCUUUGAUUUUUGCAUUCCUGAUGAAGGAAAUUCCAGAAAAGCGCUUUGGAUGCAUGAAAUUCAUAACAUGUUGUUUUCAUUUUAUUGUUUAGAGAAAAUCAUGUAAAUGUUAUGAAAAUUUGCUAGACUAAGAAGUAAUUUGUACAUUUUGUUUUUAGGAACACAC
rnacentral:lncRNA from 1 species